GUUCAUCGUAUGCACAACCACGGUCCCAUACAGCUGGGCCACCACCACAAGACCACUUUGCAUCUGCCACAAACCCGGCAAUCAUCAGCCCAUCCAAGACCGAUAAGACCGAUCGCGGAUUCGUCGUGCCCUCCUCGCCCUCAGAACUUGGGCAGGUAUCCUCUACAAUCCACAAACAUCCAGCUCAACUACAACCCCAGAAACAAUAACCCUUACGAACUGUGCAGACAAAGUGACCACCCUUGAUUAAUUAUUAGUCGCAGACUGCACAUGUUGCACCAGCCCCUGAGCACAUAUAAGAAAGAAACGUUUGAUGCAUCCCCUUUCUUCAACCCGAUAGGUAAUAGUGUUACAACACAUUCUUAUUGCUAAUGAAUGACUAGAAACGACGACGUUUGUCUGCUGAGCCUAUGAACAGUUACCGUCGCCUGCUCUUACAGCAAAUGUUGAUGAUGAAAGGCUAUUAUAAUGCGCAGUGGGAUACACGAGGACGGUGGCGAUAAGAAGAAGGGUAUAUGAACAACAGGGCUUCGUUUUAAUCGGAUCGUUAUCUGUCUAAAGCGAAGCGAUUAUUAUAGUAUGGACAUCAGUCCCACUGCACCAGCGACGACUGCUGGCAAGCUGAGAGCUGAUCCGAGACCGGUUGAGGGCGCCAACGCUUGGAAAGCAGCCGAAGUGGUGUCAGGUGACACAUAGGUUGACAUGCCAGCAUCACCGCAAAUCCCCAAUGCCGAAGCAUCGCUCUGAGCGGCAAAGAUCUGAGAGGGAUGUUAGGAUAAUAUCAGGACUGACCUGGAGCAAAGGCACUUACAUAUGGCAUACCUCCAUAGCCAGAAGCAGAGUAAGAGACGAGAAUGGCACCACCAGAUCCAACAGUGAAUUGCUUGCAAGAAAGGAGGCUAUGUAGAGUCAGCUUGUCUGUAACUUGUGUACAGCUACUGUUUGACCUACUCAACGACACUGGACUGGGAAGGCCAGCCGCCGGUGGGCACGCCAAACCCGACGUUUUGACUCGGGCUUCCUCGCUAAACAGCUGUCAGUAGGCCGCUUUCUCGCCAGAACAUCUCACUCACAUUGGUCAAGACAACAAGCAAAGGUCCCUUCCUGAACGCAACGUCAUAGUCGGUCGAAGCUACGAUCUUGGUCUGAGAGUCCAAAAAGUUCUUUCCGUCAAACAAGGUGUUGUUGGAGAUCACAGCGUGUCG
rnacentral:sRNA from 1 species